CUCUCUCUCUCUCUCUCUCUCUCUCUCUCUCUCUCUCUCUCUCUCUCUCUCUCUCUCUCUAAACAGCUCUCUGAAUCUGCUAUCUAAAGCAACAGACACUCUGAAACAACUUGGCAUGACAGUUUACCUCUCUCUUGAACAGAACAGUCUCACUUCUCUUUCAAAACAAUUUCCUCCCCCUCUCUCUUAAAAAGAAGUUACUUCUCUGUCUUCCCUCUCUCUAGAAACCAGUCAAUGUCUCUCUCUUCACAAACAUAAAUGCGCAGAUCCCCUUUUGAUGCAUAAUUCUGCAAAAAUCCCUCAAAUUUCGUUAAUGCCUUAGGAAGCUUCCCUCAUGGAGAGAAAGUUCCUAAAAGAAGACCGCAUUAAAAUCUAGGAAAAUAGCACCAAAAACCCAUUUUCUUUUUCAAAAACAUGAUUCAAAUUCUCGAAACUUCUAAAUUUUAUUUUUUUGGCUUAGCAAACCUUCUGCAUUAUCCCAAAUAUCACAGUAGAACAUCAUUAUAUCACAGUAGAACAUCAUUAUCAACCCACAAAAAAAAAAAAAGAUGAAAAAGCCUCUUGAAUUUCACCUCGAAAACAAUUCGAAAAAUGCAUCUUUUUCCCUACCAUUUCUAAUAAAAAAACCCAAAAAGAAAAAACCCAUUUUUCUGCCAUUUGCAAGGAAAAAGAAAAAUAAUAGAUCAAAUUCUCCCCCUAGAGACUAUGUUUUUACUCAUCCUAAAUACAGAUACCCUAGAAUUCAGAUAAGCAUGAAGCUCCAAAAAAAGAAAGAACCAAAAUCAAAGAAAAACUUGCCAUUUUUGCUGAUCUUCCACCGAACUAGCGCAAAUUCAAACCAGAUGCAGUGGCCCAAAAAACCCACCAAAAAAAUAUCCAAAUUUGUGAUCAAUGCGAAACUCUAAAUCCAAAGAUCCAGCUAUGAAAAUGCCAGAAAAAAAUAAAGGGCUCAGAUCACACAAUGUGGGUUCUCAAAAACAGGGCUGAAACCUUAAGAUCCAGUAAUAUACAUCAACUCUUUCAAACAACCGAAAGGUUCGCUCAUCUUCAUAUUUUUUAGAGAGAGAGAGGGAUCAUUCUUAAUAUAUUUUUUAGAGAGAGAGAGAGAAAGAGAAAGAGAGAAGGAACCAUUGAAAUUUUGUGAAAAAGGAAAGGAGCGAAAAACACAGCUGUUUUAGGAUGAGAGAGAGAGAAGAAGAGAGAGAAAG
rnacentral:lncRNA from 1 species